GGAUCAUUACCGAGUUUACAACUCCCAAACCCCUGUGAACAUACCUUUAUGUUGCCUCGGCGGAUCAGCCCGCGCCCCGUAAAACGGGACGGCCCGCCGCAGGAACCACAAAACUCUGAUUUUAGUGUAACUUCUGAGUCUAAAAAACAAAUAAAUCAAAACUUUCAACAACGGAUCUCUUGGUUCUGGCAUCGAUGAAGAACGCAGCAAAAUGCGAUAAGUAAUGUGAAUUGCAGAAUUCAGUGAAUCAUCGAAUCUUUGAACGCACAUUGCGCCCGCCAGUAUUCUGGCGGGCAUGCCUGUUCGAGCGUCAUUUCAACCCUCAAGCCCCCGGGUUUGGUGUUGGGGAUCGGGCUGUACUCCAGCCCGGCCCCGAAAUCUAGUGGCGGUCUCGCUGCAGCCUCCAUUGCGUAGUAGCUAACACCUCGCAACUGGAACGCGGCGCGGCCAAGCCGUUAAACCCCCAACUUCUGAAUGUUGACCUCGGUCAGGU
rnacentral:rRNA from 1 species